CGAGUCGGCCGGGUGGUCGCUGGGGCGGGCUCCACCCGCCCUGGAGGAAAGUCCGGGCUCCGCAGGACAGGGUGCCAGGUAACGCCUGGGGGGCGAGAGCCCACGGAAAGUGCCACAGAAAAUAUACCGCCUGGCGCGCGAGCGCCCGGUAAGGGUGAAAUGGUGCGGUAAGAGCGCACCGCGCCGGCCAACGCCGGUGGCAGGGUAAACCCCACCCGGAGCAAGACCAAAUAGGGAAGCAUGUCGCGCGAGCGGCGAGGCGUGGUCCGCGCCCGCUUCCGGGUAGGUCGCUACAGGCGCACGGCGACGUGCGUCGCAGAUGAAUGAUCACCACGCCGGCAACGGCGAUACAGAACCCGGCUUACAGGCCGGCUCGCCCC
rnacentral:RNase_P_RNA from 1 species